AUGCCUACCAUGAUGAAAUACUGCGGAUGUAAAAUUUAUCGUCUUUGUCGGAAAAGCGCAACUUACACGAUGUCGAAAUUUUCCGUUGCCUUCCUUCUGAAUCGAGGCU
rnacentral:snoRNA from 2 species